UUAAGUUCAGCGGGUAUCCCUACCUGAUCCGAGGUCAACCAUAGAAAAUUAGGGGCUUGAUGGCGAGCCACCGCACAGGCCUGUAGCGAGAAGAAUGACUACGCUUAGAACCUAACGGCCGCCGCACACUGAUUUUAAGGCCCGUCAUGUUACUGACGAAGCCCAAGACAAGCAGAGCUUGAGGGGUUGAAAUGACGCUC
rnacentral:misc_RNA from 1 species